AGUAAAGUGGCGUACGGGUGAGUAACACGUGGAUCAUCUACCUUUUAGCGGGGAAUACCGCUGGGAAACCGGCGACAAUACCGCAUAAGCUCGAGAGAGGAAAGCCGAAAGGCGCUGAAAGAGGAGUCCGCGGCCGAUUAGCUAGUUGGUAGGGUAAUGGCCUACCAAGGCUGUGAUCGGUAGCCGGCCUGAGAGGGCACACGGCCACACUGGCACUGAAACACGGGCCAG
rnacentral:rRNA from 1 species